CGCUGGCGGCGUGCCUAAUACAUGCAAGUCGAGCGGACAGAUGGGAGCUUGCUCCCUGAAGUCAGCGGCGGACGGGUGAGUAACACGUGGGCAACCUGCCUGUAAGACUGGGAUAACUUCGGGAAACCGGAGCUAAUACCGGAUAAUCCUUUUCCUUUCAUGAGGAAAAGCUGAAAGACGGUUUCGGCUGUCACUUACAGAUGGGCCCGCGGCGCAUUAGCUAGUUGGUGAGGUAACGGCUCACCAAGGCGACGAUGCGUAGCCGACCUGAGAGGGUGAUCGGCCACACUGGGACUGAGACACGGCCCAGACUCCUACGGGAGGCAGCAGUAGGGAAUCUUCCGCAAUGGACGAAAGUCUGACGGAGCAACGCCGCGUGAGUGAUGAAGGCCUUCGGGUCGUAAAGCUCUGUUGUUAGGGAAGAACAAGUAUCGGAGUAACUGCCGGUACCUUGACGGUACCUAACCAGAAAGCCACGGCUAACUACGUG
rnacentral:rRNA from 1 species